rnacentral:misc_RNA from 1 species
CCGAGUUAGGCCACCGGGGACCUCCCACCCCGUGUGUAUCAUACCUAUCGUUGCUUUCGGCGAGAUGCCCCCAGUUGACGCAGCUGGACCAUGCGCGCUCGUCGAAGGACCUCAAACUCUUGUUUAGUCAGUGUAUCGUCUGAGUACAGGCAUAUAAUAGUUA